AUGCUGGUGUUUCAACCCAGAAUCUCUAAUUUUUAGACCAACGAAUAAAGAUACUUUGGCCUACAAAUUUUCAUUAAAUGAAAAGUACGGCCAAAUUAAAGAAUAUCUAUUUGAGGGGUAAAAAUUAAAGACCAAUCCAUAUGAAGGACAAUGCCUGCAAAAACAUGCCCUUUUAGGGCUAGUUGGGCUAGCCCUUUUAAAUGAAGGGUCAUUCCAUCCUACCCCAACAAAUUCCUAAGCCCCUGAGACUUGUGUUGGACUAGGCUGACUCGAUUUGACGGCUCUAGCCUGCAACAAUCGGAGGGCAAACCUCCAAAUGCUUACCCAAAUCGCAUGUCGCAGUUCAACACUUUUUUUUGUUUAUCAAAAAUGUCUAGAAAAAAAAAGCUUAAUGAUUUAAGAUGAUAUAUGUCCUGGUAACAAUUACUGGGAUAAAAUCUUAGAUGAAAAGAUACAUCAUAUCAAAUUACAUAUAAUUAGAUGAGCAAGUGUACCUGAAUCUAAGACGUGAGAAUCUCUCUUUUUAACAUGAAAUAUAAAAAAUAAAAAAAUAAAAAUUCGUUCGAUUGGGGACCAUAAUUCUAUUUAUAGUUGUAUAUAAUUUUUAUAUUUCUUAGUUAGCCCAUCAUUAAAUUAGAAAUUAUAUCAGAGUAUCUAGCCAUAAAAACUCAUACUUCAUGAGUUAUCUUAUGCCCAAAUAAUUUACUUUAGCAUAUAGUAUUUUUAAACUAUUAAUAAGUGAAGCUUUGGUUGUCCUGAGAAGGGUGCUUUUGGUAUCUCCGUUAUUUCAUUUUCAAUUACUCCCUUGAUGACACGUUUUCAGUUAGUGUGAUACAACUGGUUUCAACCUUCCAAACUUUCUAUCAAACAACAAUUGAGGCUAAAAUUAAAGGUAGUUUUUCAUCGAUUGAAGCUUGGUCCGUUUCUUUCUUCCUUCUUCGAUCGGUGUUCUCUUGUUCUCUUGUUCUUUUUUUUUUUUUUUGCCUUUCCCUCUGUUGGACUGUCGGUUAGUGUCCUCCUUUUUUAUUUUUGGUUUACUUGACAUUACUUCGCAUCAAUCAAGUGUUGCAUGUGGGUAAUUUAUUUUAAUUUAUAGUUUUACGUGCAGGAUUUUGAGAUUUUCACUUAAGGUUUGAAAUUUGCUUUAAGAAUUUAUAUUGAACUUUUAUUUCGAAGAUGGAACAAACAAUUGAAAGUUUUGAAGCUCGGACAUGAAUAUUGACGAUUGAGUCAGAUAUUUCUGUACCGGCAGAGACUAGAUUGUCGUGAAAAAUCUCUCGACCAUUUCUAGUUUUAAGCUUCUUCUUCACUUUGGUCAAAUAUUGUAAGGUACUGAUAAGUAUGAGUUUUCAUCUUUAUCCUAUUCUUAAAUGCCAAAAUUCAGUUCCUGGAUUGUUAUUCUCUCACACAUGACCAUUUUUUUGUUUCCUUUGCUUCAGUUUCUGGUCUUCACUAUUGGGUGCGGUUAUUUCUCACCAGUUUGUCUUUAACCUCUACUGUAUUUCUGAGUUUCGCGAGAGUUUUUCUUCUUAUAGUUAUUUUUUGGUACUUCUCCUUUUGUAAUAUUAAUUUCUUUUACAGUAUUGAUGUUCUUUAUGGAUGUCAUCUUAGCUUAGUGUUGGACUCAAAAUGGUCAAGAAAUAAUCAUUUAAUACUCUUGUUUGUCAUGAUGCAUGACUUCAUUUGCUAAAUUCCAUGAAUUUCUGAUUGAAAGGAUCCAAUCAAGACACUUCAAAUUGACGGUAAUUUUUGGGGGAGGACCAAUACUUGAAGUUUCAUCAUGAAUGACUAAGUUGUUCUAGC